GGUUAAGUCCCGUAACGAGCGCAACCCUUGUCCUUAGUUACCAGCACGUUAUGGUGGGCACUCUAAGGAGACUGCCGGUGACAAACCCGGAGGAAAGGUGGGGAUGACGUCAAGUCAUCAUGGCCCUUACGGCCUGGGCUACACACGUGCUACAAUGGUCGGUACAAAGGGUUGCCAAGCCGCGAGGUGGAGCUAAUCCCAUAAAACCGAUCGUAGUCCGGAUCGCAGUCUGCAACUCGACUGCGUGAAGUCGGAAUCGCUAGUAAUCGUGAAUCAGAAUGUCACGGUGAAUACGUUCCCGGGCCUU
rnacentral:rRNA from 1 species